UACUAUUUCCUUCUAUGUACCUUAAUUUGAUAGAGAGGCAGUUUAUUAUCUUUCUUGCCUUCUUUCUCCAUCUUUGUCCCAUACUUAUAUCCCCUUUGGAUUGCGCCAACCGUCAGAACUACACCAAGGCACUGUCGAAAUUGUAGCACCUGUGACUAAAAAUUGAGAUUCCAUUAGUUGAUUUUGAAGUUUGUAACUUUUAUUUUUACUUAGAUCAAGAACUAAAAAGGGGAAAAUGAUCUUGACAAUUGAUACUUUUUUUAUGAUAAUUGCAAGUAAUAUUAGCAUCCCUGCAAUCGCCGCAAGUUUUCCAUUUUGAAGGUUGAAAUAAAAGUGUAGAUGGACUGUGAUGGAUGCGGAAGAAAGAACAAACACACAUCCAGCAAAUUUAAAAUUAUUUGAACUCAUAAUUUGAUCUACAAGAGAAACCAGUAUAUGA